GACGAACGCUGGCGGCGUGCCUAAUACAUGCAAGUAGAACGCUGAAGAGAGGAGCUUGCUCUUCUUGGAUGAGUUGCGAACGGGUGAGUAACGCGUAGGUAACCUGCCUGGUAGCGGGGGAUAACUAUUGGAAACGAUAGCUAAUACCGCAUAAAAUUGAUUAUUGCAUGAUAAUUAAUUGAAAGAUGCAAUUGCAUCACUACCAGAUGGACCUGCGUUGUAUUAGCUAGUUGGUGAGGUAACGGCUCACCAAGGCGACGAUACAUAGCCGACCUGAGAGGGUGAUCGGCCACACUGGGACUGAGACACGGCCCAGACUCCUACGGGAGGCAGCAGUAGGGAAUCUUCGGCAAUGGGGGGAACCCUGACCGAGCAACGCCGCGUGAGUGAAGAAGGUUUUCGGAUCGUAAAGCUCUGUUGUAAGAGAAGAACGGGUGUGAGAGUGGAAAGUUCACAC
rnacentral:rRNA from 2 species